CAGAGUACUUUACACUCACAAACCCCUGUGAACUUACCACUAUUUGUUGCUUCGGCGGGCUGUAUCUCGUCGCCUCCUUCGGGGGGUGAGGUUAUGCGCUAAGGCUCGCCGAGGGUACUAAACUCUUAUUAUUUUACUGGUUUUUCUGAAUCUAAAAGAUAAAUAAAUCA
rnacentral:misc_RNA from 1 species